rnacentral:lncRNA from 1 species
UGCCUGCAAGUCUAUGUAUAGCAGAGAUAGGAAGUUGUGACUGAGAUGCCCCAGAUGAAAAAACUCGGGAUCCAUCAUUGGCCCAAAGAUUAAAGAAGACUGUGUGCUCUCACGAAAGAGCAAUGGAUUGAGAGGAGUCCAGAAUUUUCACUUCUGAUAAACAUGGACUGGACAUGCCAUGGAGGGGGCAUGGAAAUGGUUUUCUGCAAAGAAAAUCAAUGUGGGGGUUCUGACCAAUGGAACAUGACCAAAUACCAAUCAUGGAA